AUUGAACGCUGGCGGCAUGCCUAACACAUGCAAGUCGAACGGAAACAGGACGCUGUGAUCCCUUCGGGGUGAACUUGUCGCUGUCGAGUGGCGGACGGGUGAGUAAUGCGUAGGAAUUUGCCUCAAAGUGGGGGAUAGCCCGAAGAAAUUCGGAUUAAUACCGCAUGUGCUCUACGGAGGAAAGCGGGCCUCUACUUGUAAGCUCGUGCUUUGAGAUAAGCCUACGUCGGAUUAGCUUGUUGGUAGGGUAACGGCCUACCAAGGCGACGAUCCGUAGCUGGGUUUGAGAGGAUGAUCAGCCACACUGGGACUGAGACACGGCCCAGACUCCUACGGGAGGCAGCAGUGGGGAAUAUUGGACAAUGGGCGCAAGCCUGAUCCAGCAAUGCCGCGUGUGUGAAGAAGGCCUGCGGGUUGUAAAGCACUUUUAUCGGGAAAGAAAAUCUCGGGGUUAAUACCCCCGGGCCUUGACGGUACCCGAAGAAUAAGCACCGGCUAACUCCGUG
rnacentral:rRNA from 1 species